ACUGAACGCUGGCGGCAGGCUUAACACAUGCACGUCGAACGAGUGGCGGACGGGUGAGUAAUGCUUGGGAAUCUAGCUUAUGGAGGGGGAUAACUACGGGAAACUGUCGCUAAUACCGCGUACCAUAGGAUGAGCCCAAGUGGGAUUAGGUAGUUGGUGGGGUAAUGGCCUACCAAGCCGACGAUCUCUAGCUGGUCUGAGAGGAUGACCAGACACACCGGGACGGAGACACGGUCCAGACUCCUACGGGAGGCAGCAGUGGGGAAUAUGGCACAAUGGGCGCAAGCCUGAUGCAGCCAGGCCGCGUGUGUGAAGAAGGCCUUCGGGUUGUAAAGCACUGUCAGCGGGGAGGCGUUACCCGCAGAAGAAGCACCGGCUAACUACGUGACAGCAGCCGCGGUAAUUC
rnacentral:rRNA from 1 species